UGUUGCUAAGUAGUGUUUAUACUAAGCCAAGGACAUUUCAGCUUUGCAUGUCCUGCCAGGAGGAAGGCUGGAGGGGCACAAGAAGUUUUGGGGGAGAGACAGCCUGGAUAGCUGACCCCAGCUCUCCAAAGGGAUAUUGCAUACAUGGUAACAGGGUCAGUAUAUAAUCUAGGGGAAAUCUGGCCAGAGACUAUGGCUCAGGGAGUGGCUGGACAUCAGUUGUGAGCCAGGAGCCAGAAGCUUAGUGCUUUCCUGAAGGGUCCCAGGACUCUCUGAAUUCUUCCCUAUUGGUCUACCCUAUAUGGUUUCUUCUUCAAACCACCACUGGAAGCAAAUUUUAUGGGAGCUCUAAAACUUUGCGAACAACUGGGGUAGAAGAUUUGGCUCAAAUGCCCAUAGCACAGCACAGACAACAUCCAAAAUUAGGAUUUAAUAAAAUGCAGAAUUACCUGAAGAGAAUGCCCAGCAGGACUCAAGCUAAAUCUAAACGUUUCAUUGAACGAAGGCUCUCGGUCAUGCCUGCAUACUCUGGUUUUCUUCUUAAUUACUCUCUUUUGGGUAGAGAUAUUGACAACAUACAGCUUCACAUACAGGUCUGGGGAGAAAUAGUUCAAUGAGUUAAAUACAGAAGCUUUUAAAUAAUUGUUGUUAAUGAUUUCAACAGGGGGGAAAUUUGUUGAAAAAAUGAUAUUUUAAAAAGUCAUAUUCUGUUCUCAUUCACAUGUUGUAGAAAUGGAUCCACCCCACCAAAUCCAAAGGAAUUAUUUUGUGUUUAUAAUACUGUCAUUAAAGUAAAGAAUAUCUUGAUAUCUUUAUUUAUGUAUGAAAAUAUCAUUAUGAACAUGAGAUUUUUGUUUUUAAAAAGCUUUUUCACAAAAAUAGAGUCCUCUACUAGUUAUCCCCGUUCUUUGAUGAUCUAGGGAUUUUUAAUUUUUAGUGAAGUUAAAAAUGGAUUUUUUUAAAAAAUAAAAAGUAAACUAAAAAGAGGAUUAACUUCUGAGAGUUAAUUUGCUGCUACAAAUUGUUUUUAUUUUUAUUAAGGUUGCUCAUAGGAAAAAAGAAGCACUUCAAAAAGAAUCCUGUAGAAUAUGUCAUCCUGGCUAAGAAGCAAUUUUCUUUUCCAUUUUAGUGAUGAUAUUAAAUUACUCAAGAUACAGCCUACUUAAUGUUUUCAAAGUACCAUGAAUCUGUUUUCUUAGUGAUACCUGGAAGAUGAUCAGGAGAUUUAAAUUUGUAUGUGAUAUUUCUGCACUGAAGGAUUUCCACU